rnacentral:rRNA from 2 species
UACGUAGGGGGCAAGCGUUGUCCGGAUUUAUUGGGCGUAAAGAGCGUGUAGGCGGCUAGGUAGGUCCGUUGUGAAAACUCGAGGCUCAACCUCGAGACGCCGAUGGAAACCAUCUGGCUAGAGUCCGGAAGAGGAGAGUGGAAUUCCUGGUGUAGCGGUGAAAUGCGCAGAUAUCAGGAAGAACACCCGUGGCUAAGGCGGCUCUCUAGUACGGUACUGACGCUGAGACGCGAAAGCGUGGGGAGCGAACAGG